rnacentral:lncRNA from 1 species
UGGGUCUUUCCUGUACAUAUGCAACCAGGAUUUGGCUAAGGCAAGAUUACAGCCAAGGAGGAAGAAGAGGAAGAGGAAGAGGAUGGUGGAGUAAAGGUGGCUGAACUGCAAGGACUCAUCACCUCACAAGCGGGCACAAACCCCAUGUGUUCCAUGUGGCAGUAGGCCUAACUAAAUGAAUAGGUCCUGUUACCCUCCCUCUACCCUAGAGAAGAAAUGCAAGAUCAUUUGAAAAGGAGGAGAUCUUGGGAAUCUUGUCUAUAAGAAGACUGGAAAGGUAUUCAUGUCUGCAAGAAUUUAAAGAUCUUCCUGGAGGACUUCCUGUUCAAGAUGAUGAACUAGCAUACAUUUUAUUUGCAUCUUGUAACAAGGACAGUAAAGGCAUUCCUCUAACAAGGAAGACAGAAGUGGGGAGGAAGAUUUGUGGAAGAAGAUGCAUAAAGAAAUGCUGGUUGAUUAAACAGAGUGGAGAAAUUCAGCUCGAUAUAUAUUCAAAGAGGAC